rnacentral:misc_RNA from 1 species
AAGUCGUAACAAGGUUUCCGUAGGUGAACCUGCGGAAGGAUCAUUAGUGAUUUGGCCUCUGUGCCUAAACACAAUCCUAUACCUCUGUGAACUGUCAGCCCUCGGGCUCAAACAUUGUGUAAUGAACGUCCAUAACAUAAUCUAAUAAAACUUUCAACAACGGAUCUCUUGGCUCUC